rnacentral:lncRNA from 1 species
GCAUGCUCUAGGAGACAAACCCGGGUCAGUGAACCCUAAAAGGGCUGAGAGGCUAUCUCAGUGGUAGAAUGUUUGCUUACCAUACAGAAGACCCCGUGUUCACCUCCAACACAACAAAAAAUAAACCAUCCUGGCUAAAGAUCUCUAUAGCAUUCCACUGGCCUUUCAGUCACAGCACGAGUUCUAAGAAGAUCCCUUUCUUUCCAAUCCAUUUCUCAGUGACUGCACUUUAAUCUACAAUCAAUUCCACAGUUUAGCUUACAUUACCAAUUGGCAUCCUCUUCUAUAAGCUGCCGCCAUGACCCUGACGAAAGGCUCCUUCACCUACUCCAGUGGAGAGGAAUACCGCGGCGAGUGGAAAGAGGGCCGGAGACAUGGUUUUGGUCAACUGAUGUUUGCUGAUGGUGGCACCUACCUGGGUCACUUUGAGAAUGGGCUUUUUAAUGGCUUUGGGGUACUGACCUUCUCAGAUGGGUCAAGGUAUGAGGGGGAGUUUUCCCAGGGCAAGUUCAAUGGUGUCGGAGUCUUCAUUCGAUAUGACAACAUGACCUUUGAGGGGGAAUUUAAAAAUGGGAGAGUGGAUGGCUUUGGCUUGCUGACUUUCCCAGACGGUUCUCAUGGACUACCCCGCAAUGAAGGCCUGUUUGAGAACAACAAACUUCUGCGCCGUGAGAAGUGCUCCGCCGUGGUUCAGCGGGCUCAGAGCGCCUCCAAGUCAGCCAGGAACCUCACUGCCUGACGG